CCUACGGGAGGCAGCAGUGAGGAAUAUUGGUCAAUGGGCGAGAGCCUGAACCAGCCAAGUCGCGUGAGGGAGUACUGCCCUAUGGGUUGUAAACCUCUUUUGUCGGGGAGCAAAAGCCGGACGUGUCCGGCUGUGAGAGUACCCGAAGAAAAAGCAUCGGCUAACUCCGUGCCAGCAGCCGCGGUAAUACGGAGGAUGCGAGCGUUAUCCGGAUUUAUUGGGUUUAAAGGGUGCGCGGGCGGAUUUUUAAGUCAGCGGUAAAAUCGUGGGGCUCAACCCCAUCCAGCCGUUGAAACUGGGGAUCUAGAGUGUGCGAGAGGGAUGCGGAAUGCGUGGUGUAGCGGUGAAAUGCAUAGAUAUCACGCAGAACCCCGAUUGCGAAGGCAGCAUACCGGUGCACAACUGACGCUCAGGCACGAAAGCGUGGGUAUCGAACAGGAUUAGAUACCCUGGUAGUC
rnacentral:rRNA from 1 species